AAUCAAUCUCACGGUCUCAUCAUGUUGGCGUUGUUCGUACUCGUUAGCUUGGCAGCAGCCGCUCAUGGCUUCCCGAAUUCCCAUAUUGUCGGUGGAGAAGACGCUCCGGUGGGCGCGUAUCCGCGCAUCAGGUAUCUCUGAGAUUGUACGGAUCUCACUCCUGCGGCGGAUCCAUCAUCUCCGCGCGCACCGUCCUCACCGCCGCUCAUUGUAUUAUUUCUUACGCCAACAAUUCCAAUGCUCUGAAAUCUCUGACUAUUCACGCAGGCACGAAUCUGUUGAGCGAAGAGGGAACUGUUUAUAUGGCGACCGCGGCCGUCCCUCACGAAGAUUUCAAUAGUCUCACAAGAGCCAACGACAUUGGUAUACUCAUUCUAUCAAGACCCGUUGACUUUACCACCACGAUUCAACCUAUUCGACUCGCGACCAACGACAUCGCCGCGGGAUCUCUUUGCGGGAUCUCUUUUAAGCGGUUGGGGAACAACCUCAGAAGGCGGUUUAGUCCCUGACAAGUUGGAACACAUCAAGUUGAACGUUUACGAUCAACAGAAAUGCCGCGCCUCGCACUGGCAAGUGGAGUCUUCUCACAUCUGCACGUAUACGAGAGCAGGCGAAGGC